UAUAUCCUUUAUUGCCGCAUU
rnacentral:piRNA from 1 species